rnacentral:rRNA from 1 species
GACGAACGCUGGCGGCGUGCUUAACACAUGCAAGUCGAACGGAAAGGCCCUGCUUUUGUGGGGUGCUCGAGUGGCGAACGGGUGAGUAACACGUGAGUAACCUGCCCUUGACUUUGGGAUAACUUCAGGAAACUGGGGCUAAUACCGGAUAGGAGCUCCUGCUGCAUGGUGGGGGUUGGAAAGUUUCGGCGGCUGGGGAUGGACUCGCGGCUUAUCAGCUUGUUGGUGGGGUAGUGGCUUACCAAGGCUUUGACGGGUAGCCGGCCUGAGAGGGUGACCGGCCACAUUGGGACUGAGAUACGGCCCAGACUCCUACGGGAGGCAGCAGUGGGGAAUAUUGCACAAUGGGCGGAGGCCUGAUGCAGCAACGCCGCGUGCGGGAUGACGGCCUUCGGGUUGUAAACCGCUUUCACCUGUGACGAAGCGUGAGUGACGGUAAUGGGUAAAGAAGCACCGGCUAACUACGUG